rnacentral:snoRNA from 14 species
AGGUCAUUUCAAAAAAAGACUGUGGGAUUCUGAAACCAGGAGCUCUUAACACAGUGACUCAAAAUUGAAGAACUCCAUAGUGUGCAAUAGUUACCAAUAGUUCUAUAUAUUCUCAAGGAAAUAUAUAG